CCUGGCGGCCUUAGCGCGGUGGUCCCACCUGACCCCAUGCCGAACUCAGAAGUGAAACGCCGUAGCGCCGAU
rnacentral:rRNA from 2 species